UUUCUUUCGAUUUAAAUAUCAUACGCGUCUUCACCAUUUCUGGAUCUACAGGAAAGUUGCUUUUGACCCAACCAGCGAUCACGUCACGUGUUAUUUAGUAUUUCUUGUCGAAACGAGAAUGUUUGUUUCGUUACCUUUCGAAGAAUUCCUUCGUGGCGUGUUUCUAUAUUUAGUGUCACAUGUUCCUCGUGUCUGGCCUCGGGCAAGGUAUUCUCUUCCUUCUCGCUUCCCCGCGCGCACGAAGAAUCCCGCCAGUUCGAACGAUAUAUCCCUGCUCGCUAUCGUCUCGAGCCAACGCUUUACAACGUUCGUAAUUCGCAUUGACGAAUGCGUCACCGUCCCAUGCUCUCUUAUAUCUCGACGAGCGAUGGCCGACGAUAGAGGGAGCCUCGGGCCAUUCUCCUUUCUCUCUCGCGCGCCUCGAUUCUUCGAGUGACCCUCCAGGGCUGACCAACACGACGCUAAAUCUUCCGUGCGUGCGUUCCCUCACCGUCAAACCGUCCUGCAUUGCCCGCGGCGAUACGUGCCUCUCCCCCUCCCCUCCACGUCCACUUCUUAUUUCUUCCUGCUUCUCUUCGCUCUCCCUUCCUUCUCUUCUACUCGAAUUAUUCGAGUAGUUUUAUUUGGUUUGGUUAGAGAAGAAUCGUGGAGAAGAUUUUUAAUUUAAUCGAUCG